UAUCUUCCUCCUCGGACAGGGGAGGACCAGCAGCCAAUCACUCCUUCCUGCCGGAGAAUGAAGUGGCACUCAAACUGUUUUUCUGACAUCAGUAACAGCUGCCCACACUCCUCCGGCAGGCAUCUCUGAAACAUCAGUUUUGGGUGAUUGGUCUAAGCCAAGGACCUUUGAUAUCAAGGGAAAUGCUUACAGACCCCUGGUCUAAACACUGAGAGGUAAGGGGACUCUGUUGCGCCACCCUGGAAGGAUUUUGAUCCCUAAAUAAGAAGAGGUGAGGAGGGAGCCUGCCCUUCCUCAUGGCUUGAAUGUGCUUGUGAGAGGCAGUCAAGCCUGGAACUGUGGCAGCCGGCUUGUGACCAUGAAGCAACCAGCCCGAGAAGAAAGGCCCACCUGCCGAGGAGGGAACAGGAGCCUGGGGCCUCAAGGAUGUUGCUGAGCCUCCGUGUGCCCCUGGAGCCGCCUUCCUCUGGAGUUCUUGUGAUGGCAGAUAAUUCAAUGUUGUCAUUGUUCAAGCCAGGGGUGGGUGAACUUUUUCCAUAAAGGGCCACGUGGAAAACAUUUUAGGCUCUGGGUGUGCCAUGAGAUCUCUGUGGACACUACGACCCUAAAAACAACCAUAGACAAUGUGUAAAUGAAUGGGUACACCUAUGGUCCAAUAAAACUUUAUUUAUAAAAAUAGGUGGUGGGCUGGAUUUGGCCCUGAGGGUCAGAGUUUCCUGUGUAUUUUGUUUGUUUGUUUGUUACUUGCAGCUGACCUGUCCUAACUAGUAUUCCCU
rnacentral:lncRNA from 10 species